AAAGAGCCAGAAGAUUUACAAAGAUGUGUAGAUGGACUCAAAAUUAUAGAAAAUAUAAUUGAGUCAAAAUCAUUUUCACAAUUCAGAUAUGACUCAAUUUCAUUGCCAGCAUUACUUAAUUUGACUGCAAGUGCUCCAGUCAAUUUAUUGCCUAAACAUGACAAUAUUUCAGUCUCAUUGGAACAAUUCUGUAAAGAUACUGUUAUGACAAUUUGGCAUUAUCAUGGAGGGUGUCAAGUUGGCAAUGUUGUUGAUCAAGAUUAUAAGGUUAUUGGUA
rnacentral:misc_RNA from 1 species